GUGACAUAUUUGCUGAAGCUAUUUUGGAAGAUUUAGCUCCACGAAUCCAGCCUCAGGAUGUACAGAUAGGUGAAGAUCAGUUGCCAGUCGCUCAGACAAAUUCCGAUGAAACUGAGGAGUCUGCAGUAAAUCAAGAUAACAAUACAGAUGAGGAGAUACAGAAAGAGGCCACAGAACAGCUAAUUAAACAAACAGCUGAGGCACAAUCAGAGGAGCAACAAGAAGGAAUUGAGUCAGUGAAGAGAUCAGCAGAGGUGAUUGGAACGCCAGAAAUGAAAAUGUAAAUACAUGAAUAAAUGUAUUGUGUUUGGAUGGAUGACUGACAAUCAUUUUCAUGACAAUUUGAUCUGCCUUUGUAUGGUGAUUUCAACACUCCAAAACUAUUUAAACAUGACAGAAAUUGAAGGCAGGAGUCAAAAUAAAUUUUCAUAUUUUAUUUUAGUCCAUUGGAAAGAUAGUUUUAAAAUUGUACACGUGUUGAUAUUGAAAUUCAUGGAAGUGUCAUUGUACUUUUUUAUGGAUGAUUUUGGAGUUUUGGAGAAGACAUCGGCCUAACUCUUAAUGCUUUAAUUCGGGGAAAGUAUCAGUAUAUUGAUAAACAUGUUUGAAAAUAGUAUCUUACACAUGAGAAUAUAUUUCAAAGAAAUCUUAUUCUCGUCGUUGAACUAUCAGACUGACUUGCUGAGUAGAGAAAUGCUGAUUUGAAGAAAAACAAAUAGACCUUAUCAGCUGAUUGGUACCGGGUGAUAAUGCAUGAGAUUUUCGUGCUGUAAAUCAGUAUGUUGUAUUAGACGAAAUGUUCAUGAUUUCCAUUCUUCAUAUAGUUACUAUUGAAUCUUCUAUCAAA
rnacentral:lncRNA from 1 species